rnacentral:rRNA from 1 species
UUCCAGACUCCUACGGGAGGCAGCAGUGGGGAAUAUUGCACAAUGGGGGAAACCCUGAUGCAGCGACGCCGCGUGAGUGAAGAAGUAUUUCGGUAUGUAAAGCUCUAUCAGCAGGGAAGAAAAUGACGGUACCUGAUUAAGAAGCCCCGGCUAACUACGUGCCAGCAGCCGCGGUAAUACGUAGGGGGCAAGCGUUAUCCGGAUUUACUGGGUGUAAAGGGAGCGUAGACGGUGAUGCAAGUCAGAAGUGAAAGCCCGGGGCUCAACUCCGGGACUGCUUUUGAAACUGUGUAACUGGAGUGCAGGAGAGGUAGGCGGAAUUCCUGGUGUAGCGGUGAAAUGCGUAGAUAUCAGGAGGAACACCAGUGGCGAAGGCGGCUUACUGGACUGUAACUGACGUUGAGGCUCGAAAGCGUGGGGAGCAAACAGGAUUAGAUACCCCGGUA